rnacentral:rRNA from 1 species
CAGGCCUAACACAUGCAAGUCGAACGAAGGCUUCGGCCUUAGUGGCGCACGGGUGCGUAACGCGUGGGAAUCUGCCCCUUGGUUCGGAAUAACAGUUAGAAAUGACUGCUAAUACCGGAUAACGACGUAAGUCCAAGAUUUAUCGCCGAGGGAUGAGCCCGCGUAGGAUUAGCUAGUUGGUGUGGUAAAGGCGCACCAAGGCGACGAUCCUUAGCUGGUCUGAGAGGAUGAUCAGCCACACUGGGACUGAGACACGGCCCAGACUCCUACGGGAGGCAGCAGUGGGGAAUAUUGGACAAUGGGGGCAACCCUGAUCCAGCCAUGCCGCGUGAGUGAUGAAGGCCCUAGGGUUGUAAAGCUCUUUCACCGGUGAAGAUAAUGACGGUAACCGGAGAAGAAGCCCCGGCUAACUUCGUGCCAGCAGCCGCGGUAAU